AAAUUGAAGAGUUUGAUCAUGGCUCAGAUUGAACGCUGGCGGCAGGCCUAACACAUGCAAGUCGAGCGGCAGCGGGAAAGUAGCUUGCUACUUUUGCCGGCGAGCGGCGGACGGGUGAGUAAUGCCUGGGGAUCUGCCCAGUCGAGGGGGAUAACUACUGGAAACGGUAGCUAAUACCGCAUACGCCCUACGGGGGAAAGC
rnacentral:rRNA from 1 species